GUAGGGAGCGAGCGUUGUCCGGAUUUACUGGGUGUAAAGGGUGCGUAGGCGGCUAGACAAGUCAGGUGUGAAAUACCGCAGCUCAACUGCGGGGCUGCACUUGAAACUGUAGAGCUUGAGUGAUGGAGAGGUAAGCGGAAUUCCUAGUGUAGCGGUAAAAUGCGUAGAUAUUAGGAGGAACACCAGUGGCGAAGGCGGCUUACUGGACAUUAACUGACGCUGAGGCACGAAAGCGUGGGGAGC
rnacentral:rRNA from 1 species